rnacentral:rRNA from 1 species
CUUGGUCAUUUAGAGGAAGUAAAAGUCGUAACAAGGUCUCCGUUGGUGAACCAGCGGAGGGAUCAUUACAGAGUUGCAAAACUCCCUAAACCAUUGUGAACGUUACCUAUACCGUUGCUUCGGCGGGCGGCCCCGGGGUUUACCCCCCGGGCGCCCCUGGGCCCCACCGCGGGCGCCCGCCGGAGGUCACCAAACUCUUGAUAAUUUAUGGCCUCUCUGAGUCUUCUGUACUGAAUAAGUCAAAACUUUCAACAACGGAUCUCUUGGUUCUGGCAUCGAUGAAGAACGCAGCGAAAUGCGAUAAGUAAUGUGAAUUGCAGAAUUCAGUGAAUCAUCGAAUCUUUGAACGCACAUUGCGCCCGCCAGCAUUCUGGCGGGCAUGCCUGUUCGAGCGUCAUUUCAACCAUCAAGCCCCCGGGCUUGUGUUGGGGACCUGCGGCUGCCGCAGGCCCUGAAAAGCAGUGGCGGGCUCGCUGUCGCACCGAGCGUAGUAGCAUACAUCUCGCUCUGGUCGCGCCGCGGGUUCCGGCCGUUAAACCACCUUUUAACCCAAGGUUGACCUCGGAUCAGGUAGGAAGACCCGCUGAACUUAAGCAUAUCAAUAAGCGGAGGA